rnacentral:rRNA from 1 species
GACGAACGCUGGCGGCGUGCUUAACACAUGCAAGUCGAACGGAAAGGCCUCUUUCGGGGGGUACUCGAGUGGCGAACGGGUGAGUAACACGUGAGUAACCUGCCCUUGACUUUGGGAUAACUUCAGGAAACUGGGGCUAAUACCGGAUAGGAGCUCCUGCUGCAUGGUGGGGGUUGGAAAGUUUCGGCGGUUGGGGAUGGACUCGCGGCUUAUCAGCUUGUUGGUGGGGUAGUGGCUUACCAAGGCUGUGACGGGUAGCCGGCCUGAGAGGGUGACAGGCCACAUUGGGACUGAGAUACGGCCCAGACUCCUACGGGAGGCAGCAGUGGGGAAUAUUGCACAAUGGGUGGAGGCCUGAUGCAGCAACGCCGUGUGCGGGAUGACGGCUUUCGGGUUGUAAACCGCUUUCGCUCAUGACGAAGCUUUGUGUGACGGUAGUAGGUAAAGAAGCACCGGCUAACUACGUG